GACGAACGCUGGCGGCGUGCUUAACACAUGCAAGUCGAACGGAAAGGCCCCCUUGUGGGGUACUCGAGUGGCGAACGGGUGAGUAACACGUGAGUAACCUACCCUUGACUUUGGGAUAACUUCAGGAAACUGGGGCUAAUACCGGAUAGGAGCUCCUGCUGCAUGGUGGGGGUUGGAAAGUUUUGGCGGUUGGGGAAGGACUCGCGGCUUAUCAGCUUGUUGGUGGGGUAGUGGCUCACCAAGGCUUUGACGGGUAGCCGGCCUGAGAGGGUGACCGGCCACAUUGGGACUGAGAUACGGCCCAGACUCCUACGGGAGGCAGCAGUGGGGAAUAUUGCACAAUGGGCGGAAGCCUGAUGCAGCAACGCCGCGUGCGGGAUGACGGCCUUCGGGUUGUAAACCGCUUUCGCCUGUGACGAAGCGUGAGUGACGGUAAUGGGUAAAGAAGCACCGGCUAACUACGUG
rnacentral:rRNA from 1 species